rnacentral:rRNA from 1 species
UACAGAGGGGGCGAAGCGUUGUUCGGAAUUACUGGGCGUAAAGGGCGCGUAGGCGGCCUGCUAAGUCGAACGUGAAAUCCCUGGGCUUAACCCAGGAACUGCGUCCGAUACUGGUUGGCUUGAAUUCGGGAGAGGGAUGUGGAAUUCCAGGUGUAGCGGUGAAAUGCGUAGAUAUCUGGAGGAACACCGGUGGCGAAGGCGGCAUCCUGGACCGAUAUUGACGCUGAUGCGCGAAAGCCA